rnacentral:lncRNA from 1 species
CCUAGAACUUAAAAGUAUUCCCGCAUUUUACUGGUGGGCGACCUAGAACUUAAAAGUAUUCCCGCAUUUUACUGGUGGGCGACUUAGAACUUAAAAGUAUUCCCGCAUUUUACUGGUGGGCGACCUAGAACUUAAAUGUAUUUCCGCAUUUUACUGGUCGGCGACCUAGAACUUAAAAGUAUUCCCGCAUUUUACUGGUGGGCGACCUAGAGUUGAAAAUAUUCCCGCAUUUUACUCGUGGGCGACCUAGAGCUGAAAAGUAUUCCCGCAUUUACUGGUGGGCGACCUAGAACUUAAAUGUAUUCCCGCAUUUUAUUGGUGGGCGACCUAGAACUUAAACAUAUUCCCGCAUUUUACUGGUGGGCGACCUAGAACUUAAACGUAUUCCCGCAUUUUACUGGUGGGUGACCUAGAACUUAAAUGUAUUCCCGCAUUUUACUGGUGGGCGACCUAGAACUUAAAUGUAUUCCCGCAUUAUACUGGUGAGCGACCUAGAACUUAAAUGUAUUGAAAUUGUUUCCCCGUUCUUCCGAGAAAAUUUUUGACAAUCGGCAGAAAAUUUUCUGCCCCAGUUUUUGGUGAUUUCCCUGGCGUUGCGUCUUGCUGCCAUUAUCAAUCCUUUGUUUUCCUGCAGCAGAUAAAAGGAUUUAGUUAG